rnacentral:misc_RNA from 1 species
AGAUGGAUCAUUCAAUUUCCUUUUUUGGGACUCUGGUUGUGACGAAAAAUCCACAUUAGCUUAUGUAGUCCUGCAGUUCUGUUCACUCAGAACUGCUAUACCGGUGAAAUCUGCCGAGCAUGUGGUCCAUUGAGACAUCGUACUGACUGUGUGGUUAUAAUGAGACACUGUAUUUGGGACACUGGUUCUAGUGAAAAAUCGGAAUGGUUAUGUGGUGGUAAUGAGAAAACUUAUUAAGAACGUGGUCCUAGUGAGAAGUCGAAUCUGGCUGUGAUUGUAGUGAGAAAUCGAAUCUGGCUGUGGUUGUAGUGAGAAGUCGAAUCUGGAUGUGGUAUUAUUGAGACAAUGAAUUAAGCAAGUGGUUGUAGUGAGAAGUCGAAUCUGGCUGUGGUGCUAAUGAGAAAUCGAAUCUGGCUGUGGUAUUAUUGAGAUACUGAAUUAAGCAUGUGGUGUUAUUGAGAAAUCGAAUCUGGCUGUGGUAUUAUUGAGAUACUGAAUUAAGCAUGUGGUGUUAUUGAGAAAUCGAAUCUGGCUGUGGUAUUAUUGAGAUACUGAGUUAUGCAUGUGGUUGUCCUAAGUGAAUAGAAUGUUUACUGGUAGAAGUCGUGUAAAAAUCUAUCUUAGUGCAUGUGGUCGGUUGUCCUAAAUUUUAAGAGAUAAUUCCAUUUACGCCUCUCAGCGAUGGAUGUCUCGGAUCUCGUAACGAUGAAGAACGCAGCUAGCUGCGAGAUGCAGUGUGACAUGCGAACUUCUGUGAAUCAUUAGAUUUUUGAACGCAAACGGUACUCUUAAAUUUUUUUAGGAGUAUGUUCACUUCAGUGCUUUCAUAUAUUUGUUAACCUAAUGAGUGGUUAACGUGAUUAGUUGCUGUGAUUGCGGUAACUGUAAGCUAAUGAUAAUGGCUUUUAGGUGACGCUUUGAAGACCGUUAUUACACUAUAAAUAAGCCUGAAUUUGAGCAAGUGUACCCGCUGAACUUAAGCAUAUUAUUAAGCGGAGGAAAAGAAACUAACUAGGAUUCCCCUAGUAACUGCGAGUGAACAGGGAAGAGCUCAAACUGGAAAUCGACAGUUUUCUGUUGAAUUGUAGUCUCAUGAAAUGCAGCCUGUAGAUAUUGUGAGUUAAGUCUCUUGGAAAAGAGUACCAAAGAGGGUGAAAGUCCCGUCUUUAUUCACAACUAUUUACUUUCGGUUCAUUUUCAAAGAGUCGCGUUCCUUAAGAUUGGAGCGCUAAGUGGGUGAUAAACUUCAUCUAAAGCUAAAUACUAACGAGAUUCCGAUAGCGUACAAGUACCGUGAGGGAAAGUUGAAAAGAACUUUGAAAAGAGAGUUAAAAGGAACUGAAAUUGCUGAAAGGGAAGCGGAGAGAUUCAACGGUCUAGCGAAUCUUCUGCGUGCUUGGAUAUUGCAUCCUCGAGUGUGCGGUUGAGAUUUGCGGUGACUCUGGAAGCGAUUGUACAAGCAGAUUACAAUAUUGAUAGGUUCUAUAAUUAGGGCCAUGUCUUUAAUGUCUUCAGCUUGUGUGAUCUAUGUAAUUCUAACUCAGCAUUAAUUGUCGAGUUAUACUCUUCCAGACAUGUUGAUUCUCUCCUCCCCGUCUUGAAACACGGACCAAGGAGUCUACUUUAUGUGCGAGUACAAGGGUGGAAAACCUAUGUGCGAAAUGAAAGUAAUAGUUAGGAUGGUUAUUCCUGCACUGACACUCGGCCACUGAGUCGAAGUUGAGCACAUAGAAUAGGACCCGAAAGAUGGUGAACUAUGCCUGAGUAGAAUGAAGUCAGAGGAAACUCUGGUGGAAGUUCGUAGCGAUACUGACGUGCAAAUCGUUCGUCAAACUGGGGUAUAGGGGCGAAAGACCAAUCGAACCAUCUCGUAGCUGGUUCAUUCA